GAUGAAGAACGCAGCGAAAUGCGAUAAGUAAUGUGAAUUGCAGAAUUCAGUGAAUCGUCGAAUCUUUGAACGCACAUUGCGCCCGCCAGUAUUCUGGCGGGCAUGCCUGUUCGAGCGUCAUUACAACCCUCAGGCCCCCGGGCCUGGCGUUGGGGAUCGGCGGAGCCCCCCGUGGGCACACGCCGUCCCCCAAAUACAGUGGCGGUCCCGCCGCAGCUUCCAUCGCGUAGUAGCUAACACCUCGCGACUGGAGAGCGGCGCGGCCACGCCGUAAAACACCCAACUCUUCUGAAGUUGACCUCGAAUCAGGUAGGAAUACCCGCUGAACUUAAGCAUAUCAAUAAGCGGAGGA
rnacentral:misc_RNA from 1 species